rnacentral:rRNA from 1 species
UGCCGCGUGAAUGAAGAAGGCCUUCGGGUUGUAAAGUUCUUUCGUGGAGGACGAAAAGGUGGGUGCUAAUAUCGCCUGCUGUUGACGUGAAUCCAAGAAGAAGCACCGGCUAACUCCGUGCCAGCAGCCGCGGUAAUACGGGGGGUGCAAGCGUUAAUCGGAAUCACUGGGCGUAAAGGGUGCGUAGGCGGUGCAUUAGGUCUGUCGUGAAAUCCCCGGGCUCAACCUGGGAAUGGCGGUGGAAACCGGUGUACUAGAGUAUGGGAGAGGGUGGUGGAAUUCCAGGUGUAGCGGUGAAAUGCGUAGAGAUCUGGAGGAACAUCAGUGGCGAAGGCGGCCACCUGGCCCAAUACUGACGCUGAGGCACGAAAGCGUGGGGAGCAAACAGGAUUAGAUACCCUGGUAGUCCACGCCCUAAACGAUGAAUACUAGAUGUUUGGUGCCAGCGUACUGAGUGUCGUAGCUAACCCCAUAAUUAUUCCGCCUGGGAAUUACGGUCCCAAGGUUAAAACUUUAAUGAUUUUACG